GCCGGGUGUGGCGGCUCACACUUGUAAUCCCAACAUUUUGGGAGGCUGAAGUGGGAGGAUCGCUUGAGCCCAGGAGUUCUAGACCAGCCUGGGCAACAAAGUGGGACCCCAUCUCUA
rnacentral:sRNA from 1 species